GUAGACAUGGUGAGCCUCCACACCCCAGAUGGGAAUUCAGCCAGAAAAUAGAGUAAGAAAAGACACAGGGGAAACCAGUCCAGUGACUGGUCUAUCCUUUAUUGUCCGGAAAGGCCUUAUAUACUCUUGAUUUUAGAGAUCAAUGGAUAAUACAAAAUAAUGCAGUGUCAACUGCCCUGACUCUUAUCGAGACCAGGCUUUCUCUCUGCAUACCUAGUUGUAUACACAAGUCUUAGGUGAUUUACAUCAUCUUCUGGCCAGAAGGCCAAUUAACAUUUUACGGCCCUUUUCUGAUAAGGGUAAUAGUGUUGUUCUUCCCAAAGUCUGGUGCCACUCUCAGAAAGCACCAAAUAAAGUUACAUUCUUACAUAGCAAGGAUACAACAAUUUAUAACAAGAAAUGGAGUACAGUGAUUUAUAACAAAGAGAAAAUUAAUUAACUCAAAAGUCUAGUAUUGCUAACAUCAAAACUACUAUAUUCCUAUUUCUGCAUCCUGAUUACAUUGAUUAAUAUUCUCCCAGGUGCCUAAAAGAUAAAGGGUAUGGAGGCCUGGCGACAAACAUUAACUCAACAAACUCUUCACCAACUAAUUCUUAACUCUAAAAGGCUCUAUAUCUUUAAGAUGUUUUGAGCUUUGUGCCUCUCACGGUUGGGGGCUAUAAAAAAUCCUCAAGUCAUAAAGUCUGGGCAGACCAGUCAGAUAAGUUAGAAAGCCAUCAAAGGGGUUUAAACUGAGACAUUCUUUUUAUAUGCAGGAGACUGUUAACUGGAGCUCUGAAUUAACUUUUUCGGGGAUAGCCCCCUGUUAUGUCAGAAGAGUAUAGUAUAGCAGACAGUAAACAGACAGAUUUUGGUUUUGGGGUAGAUGCUCAGACAGAGGACCCCUUGAGACCUGACUCGCCUUGCCCAUCAGGCCUCUCCGCAUGACCUUGUCAUGGGUGGGAUCUCCCGUGCUGGCUCCUGGCAGGUUGUCUGCCGGCCAAGUACCCUCUUGCUUGGGGGAGGUCAGUCUUUUUCCUUUCAGGCUCUAGCCGAUGGGUGAGACCCACCCACAUUAUGGAUGGUAGUCUGCUUUACUCAAAGUCUACUGAUUUAAAUGUUACUCUUAUCUUAAAAAAAAAAAACCCAAACACCUUUUCAGAGACAUCUUGGAUAAUGCUGAAUCAGAUAUCUGGGUACUGUGGCCUAGCCAUUUCAUUCUGCAAAUAUGUGUGUGUGUGUGUGUGUAUAACCAUUAUGUGCAUGGUUGCUCAGGCGUGUCUGACUGUUUGCAACCCCAUGGACUGUAGCUCGCUAGGCUCCUCUGUCCAUGGGGAUCUCCACGCAAGAAUACUGGAGUGGGUUGCCAUGCUUUCCUCCAAGGGAUCUUCUUAACUUGGGGAUCGAACCCAGGUCUCCCCUCAUUGCAGGCGGAUUCUUUACUGCCUGAGCCACUAGGGAAGCCCAAGAAUACUGGAGUGGGUAGGCUAUCCCUUCUUUGGGGGUCUUCCCAACCAAGGAAUUGAACCGGGGUCUCCUGCAUUGCAUGUGGAUUCUUUACUAGCUGAGCCUAACUACCCAUUUUAGACAGGUUAAAACAGAAUGGUGAUCUAGAAGUUUGUCUGUACUCAGGACAGUGGAGUUAGUAGGGGUAGGUUUUCCUGCCCUAGCUUUUAGCCCAAACACAAAAGGUGGUCUUGGCUCAUUAAGACUGGCCCUGACCUGGCAGGGAAGGACCAGAAAAAUGCUCAGAACUGAUCAGCUCACAUGGUUCAGUGCUUCCCAAUCACAUCCCAAUGGUCUUUUGUGUGUGCAGCAGAGACACCAGCCUUGCCUUUGCUCUCUGGGUGACUCAGCUGCUCCCUGCCACUCUCCAUGGAGACUGCGAGAGGAAGCCUCAAAGUCUGGGUCACGCUGGGCCCGGAUUAGUAGCCGCUCUGGGUUCUCUGUCAUGUAGUCUGCACCUGGCAGGAUCUGGGCCUCCCUAUCAUCACACUUGCUCACCCACAAGCAGCUCUGGCUGUACUCGCUGUUCACAGUCUUAGUCCUGAACCACUCACUGCAGCUCACUUGCCUAUGCCCUGGUGUCUGACUGCUGGCUGUCCUGGCAGCCAACAUGGUUGGCUUGGGCACAUGCUGUUGUCCUCUGGGUCUUGGCUUCUCUUGUUGAUACUUGCUCAGUGACAGUGAUGCCUGCUCUCUGUCCCAGAAACAUGUGCAGAAUGUCUUGGGCAUGCCUCCCUGACCCAGUCCCUGGGGCCUUACUAGGAUGUUGACAGGGGUGACUCACUCUCUGCUGGGCUCAUGUGCACCGCUGAACCUGGGCAGUUCCCAUGGUGGGGGAGUUGGAGGGGUGUAGGACCAUGGGAGCAAGGUGGAGAGAGGCAGUAGAUGUAGAGUACCUUUUGUGAGACUCCAAGUCUGGGCCCUUCCUGGGGUUUGUUUGACCUUCUGCACAUCACCGUCAUUGCCCUAGUCCCUUCACAUUGCUGUAAUGUGGACUGCGACACCACAGACUGAGUGGUUUGUAAACAACAAAAACUUAUUUCUCACAGACUUGGAGGCCAGAGGGCCCAAGAUCCAGGGGCCAACGUGGUUGGGUGAGGACCCUCUUCUGGGCUUAAGGCUUGUAUCCUCCUGGGGAAGAAGGUACAAGAGAACUCUUCAGGGUCCUUUUUAGAGAAACACUAAUGCCAUUCAUCAGGGCUCUGCUCUCAUGUCCAGUUCAGUUCAGUCACUCAGUCAUGUCCGACUCUUUGUGACCCCAUGAAUCGCAGCACGCCAGGCCUCCCUGUCCAUCACCAACUCCCGGAGUUCACUCAGACUCACGUCCAUCGAGUCUGUGAUACCAUCCAGCCAUCUCAUCCUUGGUCAUCCCCUUCUCCUCCUGCCCCCAAUCCCUCCCAGCAUCAGAGUCUUUUCCAAUGAGUCAACUCUUCACAUGAGGUGGCCAAAGUACUGGAGUUUCAGCUUUAGCAUCAGUCCUUCCAAAGAAAUCCCAGGGCUGAUCUCCUUCAGAAUGGACUGCUUGGAUCUCCUUGCAGUCCAAGGGACUCUCAAGAAUCUUCUCCAACACCACAGUUCAAACGCAUCAAUUCUUCGGCCCUGAGCACCUCCCAAAUGCUCUAUCUCUGAAUACCAUCAUAUUGGGGGUUAGAAUUUUAACAUACAAAUUUUGAGUGGAUGCAAAUAUUCGGAACACAGUAGUCAUGGUCCUACCUCUGAACCCAUCAGAGACAGAAGACUUUUGCUAGUAUUGUUGGGACUGGCUGAGUUCACUUAUCACCUGGGUUCGCUAUGGCAGAUGGUGUAGUCUGAGAGGGAUGGAAUCUUGAUGACAUUGGUUUAGCCCUCAAUCCAGAUGAAUAUGAAGUAAGAUCUGCCUCCAGACUUAAAAAAAUUUUUCAUAAGCAAUUACAUUCCCUUGCUUUUAUUUAAACCAAUCUCAACUGGGUUUUCUGUCACCUGCCACCAAGAAAAUCCUAAUGGAGCCAGCCUUGUGACCUUUGGGUCAAAGUCACCUCAUCAAUAUUCUCAAAGGCUAUGUGAUUAAAAAAAAAAAAACUUUAUUGCAGGAUAAUUGCUUUACAAUAUCGUGCUGGCUUCUGCCAUGCAGCAACAUGAAUCAGCCACAGGAAUACAUGUGUCUCCUCCCUCUUGAACUUCCCUCCCAUUCCCUGCCUCUAGGUGGUCACGGAGCACUGGGCUGAGCUCCCUGCAUCACACAGCAAAUUCCCCCUGGCUCUCUAUUUUGCAUAUGGUAAUAUGUAUGUUUCCUGCUGCUCUCUCAGUUUGCUCCACCCUCUCCUUCCCCCACUGUGUCCACGAGUAUGUUCUCUCUGUCUUCGAAGGUUGCCUGACUUUGAAGGGUAUUUAGUUGUUUUGCUUCUUUAAUUGGGUAUCACUUGGUCCUUGUGUUAGGAUCAGCUAUCUAAUCCAAACUGUGUUGAUAACAUUCCUUUUGGUUUUCAAUAGCCUUAAUCAGUUCUUUGAACUUGUCUGAAAGUUGGAAGCCUAUUACCCACUUGUUGUUUGUUGUUUUAUGGGAGCCAACCAGUUGAAUGUAUAAGAUGAGUUGGCACAGCUCCUGGAUGAGUGAAGAGGAACUUUCAAUCAUCCAUUGAUUCCUGGAAUUCUUCUAUGCUGAGGGUAGAAGGUGGAAGAUUCCUGGUCAUCUGGGCUUCCAGGAUCCAGCUUAUUCUCCAUGUGUUGCUAAAAGAGGACAGAGCAGGUGUUCUCAUAACAGUUCCCUGGCUGAGCAAAUGCUGCAACCCAGUCAUCAGCACUGAAGGCAACCGAGUUCAUGACCCACAUCCUGACUGUUUCUGAACAGGAGCUAUGGCCACCCAGUGAUUUAUUUCAUGGAUGAUCAGCCUUCAAAACUGCAACGGUGAUUGGGCAUGAAUCCUGUAAGUGCCAAUAAUGUGUGAAGGUGAGUCCAGUGAAAAAUGAGGAAGCCUUGUGGUCAAGAGCACGUACACUGGGGUCUGCAGACCUGUGUUCCCUACACGCCAAUUCCAGAGGGAGUGGAGUGUCUGGGAACCACAGUCCUCUCUUCUUUCCUAGAUAUCCUGGGGUCUCACCAACUCUUAAAAUUCCUCCAUGUUUUUUUCUCACUUAGGAUCUUUUUCUGUGUUGCUUCCACCAGGUACAGGGAUGAAUUCUGGAUAUUUGUUUUGCCCUGUUAUUUGGUUUCAUAGGGGGUGGGUCUCUGAGCCUUUACUUUCUCUCAAACUAGCCUGAAACCACUGGGCAGGCUUAAAACUUGUUUCAGUUCUCUGCAAAUCCUUCUCCCCACC
ensembl:lncRNA